rnacentral:sRNA from 2 species
GCGCGGGACACGCCAAAUCCCCGCGAGGGGAGCCGGGGACCCACCGGCGGCGACCCCCAUCGCCGUCACCCGGGGUGAAUCCGAGUCGUUCGGUAGGGCUGCUCCGGCCCGAACCCGUCAGCUAACCCGGUAGGCGUCGAGGAAGGGAGCU